AGAGUUGAUCCUGGCUUAGGACGAACGCUGGCGGCGUGCCUAACACAUGCAAGUCGAGCGAGGAGAUCCUUCGGAUGAUCCUAGCGGCGGACGGGUGAGUAACACGUGGGCAACCUGCCUCAUAGAGAGGAAUAGCCUUCCGAAAGGGAGAUUAAUACCUCAUAACAUUGCAGUUUCGCAUGGAACAGCAAUUAAAGGAGUAAUCCGCUAUGAGAUGGGCCCGCGGCGCAUUAGCUAGUUGGUGAGGUAAUGGCUCACCAAGGCGACGAUGCGUAGCCGACCUGAGAGGGUGAUCGGCCGCAUUGGGACUGAGACACGGCCCAGACUCCUACGGGAGGCAGCAGUGGGGAAUAUUGCACAAUGGGGGAAACCCUGAUGCCAGCAACGCCGCGUGAGUGAUGACGGCCUUCGGGUUGUAAAGCUCUGUCUUCAGGGACGAUAAUGACGGUACCUGAGGAGGAAGCCACGGCUAACUACGUGCCAGCCGCCGC
rnacentral:rRNA from 1 species